GAUGAACGCUGGCGGCGUGCCUAACACAUGCAAGUCGAGCGAGAAGUAAAGAAAUGAAGCUUCGGUAGAUUUUCAUUAUGGAAAGCGGCGGACGGGUGAGUAACGCGUAGGCAACCUGCCCUGUACAGGGGGAUAGCCACCCGAAAAGGUGAUUAAUACCCCAUGAUGCAAGAGAUACACAUGUAUCACUUGUCAAAGAUUUAUCGGUAUGGGAUGGGCCUGCGUCUGAUUAGCUAGUUGGUAGGGUAACGGCUUACCAAGGCAACGAUCAGUAGCCGACCUGAGAGGGUGAUCGGCCACAUUGGAACUGAGACACGGUCCAAACUCCUACGGGAGGCAGCAGUGGGGAAUAUUGCACAAUGGGCGAAAGCCUGAUGCAGCAACGCCGCGUGAAGGAAAAAGGCCUUCGGGUUGUAAACUUCUGUCCUAGGGGAAGAAACAAAUGACAUACCCUGAGGAGCCACG
rnacentral:rRNA from 1 species